UACAGAGGGUGCAAACGUUGCUCGGAAUUACUGGGCGUAAAGCGCGUGUAGGUGGCCUCGCAAGUCAGGUGUGAAAGCCCAGGGCUCAACCCUGGAAGUGCACAUGAUACUGCGUGGCUGGAGUACUGAAGAGGAGAGCGGAAUUCCCGGUGUAGAGGUGAAAUUCGUAGAUAUCGGGAGGAACACCAGUGGCGAAGGCGGCUCUCUGGGCAGAUACUGACACUGAGACGCGAAAGCGUGGGUAGCAAACAGG
rnacentral:rRNA from 1 species